CCUACGGGAGGCAGCAGUGAGGAAUAUUGGUCAAUGGCCGAGAGGCUGAACCAGCCAAGUCGCGUGAGGGAAGACGGCCCUACGGGUUGUAAACCUCUUUUGUCGGGGAGCAAAGCGAACCACGAGUGGUUCCUUGAGAGUACCCGAAGAAAAAGCAUCGGCUAACUCCGUGCCAGCAGCCGCGGUAAUACGGAGGAUGCGAGCGUUAUCCGGAUUUAUUGGGGUUAAAGGGUGCGCAGGCGGAGGUGCAAGUCAGCGGUCAAAUUGCGGGGCUCAACCCCGUACUGCCGUUGAAACUGCAUCCCUUGAGUGCGCGAGAAGUAUGCGGAAGGCGUGGUGUAGCAGUGAAAUGCAUAGAUAUCACGCAGAACUCUGAUUGCGAAGGCAGCAUACCGGCGCUCAACUGACGCUCAUGCACGAAAGUGUGGGUAUCGAACAGGAUUAGAUACCCUGGUAGUC
rnacentral:rRNA from 1 species